UACGUAGGGGGCAAGCGUUGUCCGGAUUUAUUGGGCAUAAAGAGCGUGUAGGCGGCCAGGUAGGUCGGCUGUGAAAACUCGAGGCUCAACCUCGAGCUGUCGGCCGAAACCAUCUGGCUAGAGUCCGGAAGAGGAGAAUGGAAUUCCCGGUGUAGCGGUGAAAUGCGCAGAUAUCGGGAAGAACACCCGUGGCGAAGGCGGUUCUCUGGGACGGUACUGACGCUGAGACGCGAAAGCGUGGGGAGCGAACAGG
rnacentral:rRNA from 1 species